CCCGCACAAGCGGUGGAGCAUGUGGCUCAAUUCGAUGCAACGCGAAGAACCUUACCAGGCCUUGACAUGCACUAGACAGACUCUGAAAGGAGUCCUCCCCUUCGGGGCUGGUGCACAGGUGCUGCAUGGCUGUCGUCAGCUCGUGUCGUGAGAUGUUGCGUUAAGUCGCGCAACGAGCGCAACCCCUGUCCUUAGUUGCCAUCAUUAAGUUGGGUACUCUAGGGAGACAAACCCUCUCUGAGGGUGGGAAGGUGGGGAUGACGUCAAGUCAGGAUGGCCCUUACGGCCUGGGCUGCACACGUGCUACAAUGCCCGAUACAGAGGGAAGCAAUACCGCGAGGUGGAGCAAAUCCUCAAAAUCGGGCCCAGUUCAGAUUGUAGUCUGCAACUCGACUACAUGAAGUUGGAAUCGCUAGUAAUGGCGCAUCAGCUACGGCGCCGUGAAUACGUUCCCGGGCCUU
rnacentral:rRNA from 1 species